GAUGAACGCUGGCGGCGUGCCUAAUACAUGCAAGUCGAGCGAACAGACGAGGAGCUUGCUCCUCUGACGUUAGCGGCGGACGGGUGAGUAACACGCGGAUAACCUACCUAUAAGACUGGGAUAACUUCGGGAAACCGGAGCUAAUACCGGAUAACAUGUUGAACCGCAUGGUUUAACAGUGAAAGACGGUCUUGCUGUCACUUAUAGAUGGAUCCGCGCCGCAUUAGCUAGUUGGUAAGGUAACGGCUUACCAAGGCAACGAUGCGUAGCCGACCUGAGAGGGUGAUCGGCCACACUGGAACUGAGACACGGUCCAGACUCCUACGGGAGGCAGCAGUAGGGAAUCUUCCGCAAUGGGCGAAAGCCUGACGGAGCAACGCCGCGUGAGUGAAGAAGGUCUUCGGAUCGUAAAACUCUGUUAUUAGGGAAGAACAAAUGUGUAAGUAACUAUGCACGUCUUGACGGUACCUAAUCAGAAAGCCACGGCUAACUACGUG
rnacentral:rRNA from 1 species